CCGAGGCGCUGCGCCCCGUGGCUCUGCAGCUGGAGGCGCGGGGCUGGCUGCUCACCCCUGCCCAGCGCUGCCCGCUCGUCCGUGCCGCCUUCCUCCAGGUCCUCACCCUCCUCCCUGCAUCCUUCAGCCCUGGCUUCGCCCAGCACAUCUGUGAUUCCAUCAGCACUGAGCUGGGCAGCCUCCUGCCAAGGGGAAAGCCAGGCCGUGCCGAGCCACAGGUACCGCUGCCUGCCGGGAAAAUCAUGGCCAUGGCCGGACUGGCAGUGGGCCUGGGCGGGGCACAAGGACCGCUCGCUCGAGGCUGAGCACUGGGAGAGGAAUCCUGUUUUUUUCUGCAGGUUGGCUUGGCCGUUCUCCACCAAACCAUGGCCCACUUCAUGUGCAGCGAGGCAGCUCAGCUGGCAGACAGUGAGCGGAUUGCUGCUGUCUGCUCCCUUGUCCAGCAGCCCAAUCCCGAUGUCCAGCUUGCCAUCCUGAGCUGGGUGGUCGCCAGGGAGGGAGGAACAUGCAAGGAGCUGGAGAAGGCUCUCAGGCUGACACUGCUGGAGAGCUUGCGGUCGGUGCUGCGAGAGAGAAGGGACAAAGAGUUCCUGAGAUUGUACCUUGAGGCUUUGCUGCAUCUUUACAGAGAUCCCUCAUCAUGGUCUCAGGAAGCUUCCCACAGACUCCAGGGCUCCUGGGCAGCAUGCCUGGAGAUGCUUCUGCACAUGGUGGAGGCUGAGCGUCCUGGCCCCGACCUCCUCUUCCAGGCGCUGUGUGCUGCCAGCCUGCUGCUCGCCCACUGGUAGGUCCCUGCUGCUGCCGGGGAGCUGCACGACUCACCCAGCAGAUUCUUAGUCCU
rnacentral:lncRNA from 1 species